rnacentral:lncRNA from 1 species
GAGGCUUUUAAUUGUUUUGAGAAGAAAUAGGCCAGCAACAUGCCCAAUUUGUUUUAUAGAGAAGUCUUUAAGGGAAAAACAAUGGCUGGUAGGCACUGGGCUCGAAGUGGAGCCCAAAAUUGAUGACAAAAUGGACAAGACAGGCCUGGUUUAUGCGGCGGAUACCAUUGGGCCAGUAUUAGGUCUAUCUUUUAAAGAUAGGCUUUCAAUGUUGCAAUACAUUUAAUAUAUUAAUAGAAAAUUUAAGAAAAAAUGUGUUGAAGAUAUUAGUCAACUAUUAUAAAUUAAUUUGUUAAACCAUGUUGCUAUCAUCAAUCAACAAGAGAUGAACUCCUGAACUUGUUCAUGGACUGACUUAGAUCUACACAUGCCAUUACACUCAACAAUUCGAACUUAGUACAAUGUAUGUUAAAUAACCUUUGGAAAAGUUUCAAAUAAUUACAACUACUAGGUCUAAUAAAUUUUUAAACCACACAUGGAUGAAUUAAACUAACUUGACGUUUAAACAAUCCGAAUACACUAGCAUCAGCAUCAACAGUAUUUAAUCAAGACUGAAAAGAAGUUACAAAUUCAAAUGAAGAAGAACAAUAGAAAACAUCUAGCUAAGUAUAAAUCAGGAGUCAAAAUCCCGAAUCAACAUGUUACAAUUCCAUCUUCUCACUCUCAUGAACAUACCUGGAUAUCGCAAAAGAGAAUGAAAUAAGAAUUUCAAGCUAAAUAUGAGUAUAGAUCAGCAGUUAGUCAACAUCAAUAGUAGCUUCAAUUUAAUCCAUAAUCAAGCCCAGAAAACUAGAGAUCCAGAGAAUAUUUUUCUAAAGUCUUGCUAAAGAAAAUCAGAAGAAAAUAAAAAUCAGCUCUCAAUGGAACAAUACAUAACUUUUUGAGCCUUUUUAGGUUCGAAAAUCUUUGCUUAAUCAGUCAAGAAGGGCUCUAUUUUAUAAGCAUCUAAAAUGCCAUCCGUUGAAACGGAAAUCAGGGAAUUGUUCUGUUCAACCACAAAAGCAUUUUCUAACAAACUUGGACAGUUGGUUGUCCCGCAUUGGUUUCAGUAUUUUGUGCUAAACAAAUGAGGCCAGCUGCCAUAUUCUAGAACCUUCCCACGUGGUUUUAUCCCAUUUUAUACUUACCCACCCUUCAAACAAACCUCUUAAGUUUUCUUUAUUAUUCAAUUAACCCCUCACAAGUUCUUAAUGACGUACAAACUGUGGCAAACAGAAACAAACAUGCAAAUAUCAGUAAAUGAAUCAAACAACAAACAACAAAGCCAAAAGUGUGAACGUCUGAAAACUUAAAAUAAACUUAACCUCUAAAAUGAACCAAAUUCAUAAUGAAUCCCACAAUGAUUCCUCAGAAAUGACCAUGUGUGAUGACUAUCAUGGGCAGUCGAGUUAAACAACAAACGUGAAAUAAAGCUAACCUUAGGCUAACUAGGCAUUAAUUAAACCAAAUUAUUUAAAAGUGAAACUAAUUAGGCAAUUUUAAGCAUACUAACAAAUCAAAACAACAACGAUACCUAAAAAUACAAAAAUAAACUAAACUAAUUUAAAAGUUAAGUAAUUAAACAAAUCACCAUACUAAAUUAACAAACCCUAACAAAAGAGCUGGUUGAACAAAAAAUUCAAACUACAAAAAAAAAUUACUGGCUCGACCUAAAGAGAAGAAAAUAGAAAGGUCAGUGGUGAUAUUACCCCAUAAGUGGAAGAAAAUGCGAGGGUGAUUGUGACAGCCUACUUCGCUACGAUUGACUAUUCAAAGGUCUUUUCCUUCAAGGGAUCCGGCCUUGCAUGGGCUCCGAUCGGAUCUCCUUGAAAGAAAAGACUCAUGAUAUGGAAAAACAUAGACAACUCCUCAGCUAUUUAUAGAUCCGAAUUUUUUGGGGUUUUGCGGGUCAUUUGCAGCAAUCACUAAGGGAUUUGAGUUUAGAGGGGUGUGGAGGUUAUGGGGUGUGAAAAUGAGUGGGUCUAGGUGCGAUUUGGGUGAAUUAGGGUUUGGUUUCAAAUAUGGAUCUGAUGAAUCAGUAAGGUGUUUUGGGAAAAACUAAUGAGGGAUUUGUAAAGAGGUGGAAAUGAGGAGUGCAUGAAGCUAUUUUGGCCAGAUUUGGGGUGUCACUGCCGCCGUGAGGUAAUUUCUAGUGGCGGAAGGUGGCAAAGACAAUGAAGGGUUACAAGGCGGCUAGGGUUUAUAUAUAUAGAGAGUUGGAGAAGAAUGGGAGUGGUCUCUAGUUUGGGAGGGGGGGUAUUAGGACAGUAUAUGAGGGGAUAUAAAUUUUUUUCGAAUCGUUUAAUUAAAGGGAUUUUUACCUAUACAUCCCAUAUAACAAAC